AAUUCCCUCAGUUAUUAUAGUUGAUGCCAUUGAACACAACACUAACACAUACGUACAGUAGAACACUAACACCUAUUUUGAAGGAGAAGGAAGUUGAAGCAAUUUUCGAACGCAAUCCAAGCGGAGAUAUUGAAUCGUGCAAUUGCUUGAUGAAAAGAUCAGGAGCCGGCUAGAGAGGAUAAGGAUGCGGCUGCCGAUCAGGAGGAGGAGCAGGAUGGCGAAAAAGAUCAGGAGCCGACUAGAGAGGAUAAGGAUGCGGCUGCCGAUACUGAGAAGCCCCCUCCUGAAGCUUAAGCCUUGUAUUUUUCUUGCGGCCUGAUGGCCAUGUAUUACUUUCUCCGGCCUGCGUGCCGUAUGUUUUCUUGUAUCUUUACCGACCGAGGGGUCGGGUUAUUUGACAAUCUUUUCCGAUUGUACCAGUUAACUCAUUUUAGUCGACCAUAAGGUCGGCUAAGUUUAAUUUAUGAAUCAUUCGGUCAUUCGGCCGGUUCUUCCAUUUUGCACUUGUUUUGCAAAACUUUAGAGGAAAAAAAAAAAAAAAAAAAAA